rnacentral:lncRNA from 10 species
UUUAGAAACAGGACCUUGCUGUGUCACUCAGGAUGGAGUUCAGUGGUCCUAUCAUGGCUCAUUGUAGCCUCAAACUCCCAGGCUCAAGUGAUCCUACCACUUCAACCUUCCCAAUAGCUGGGACUACAGGUGAGGCAUAAGCCCUGUGAGCUUAGAGUUGCUACACUUGACCACUGUGGCAGUCAAGAUGACUCUGAAGAAUGGCAUGGGAUGGAUCCUUUUGAAUGCACUUGAGCAGGGAACUCCAACCACAGGGUCACAGAGCCGGAGGUGAGCAACAGCUGGAUCUACCAUGAAAGACUUCAGAGUCCAGGAAGAGAGACUGACUGGGCAACAUGUUAUUCAGGUACAAAAAGGCUUGGAAUAUGACUCAAAAAUGAUCAAAUAAUAGUGCAUGCAUCAUAUGCAAUGGGAAGCUUUUCUGGAGUGUGAGAGAAGCUUCUAGUUAAGGUGACCUUUGAAGCCAAGUCCUGAAAGGUGAGGAA